CCUAUAAUCCAAUUUGUUCAUCUUGUAGAGAUUUUUAGAAAGAUAAACCAGAUCUAAGAUCAUUUCAAUCUAACACUAAUUGAUGUAUGAUCGAAUACAUUUUGUGUGAAUUUGUUUUCGUGAAAAUAGAUUUGGCUACACUGUAUAAAUCACUCCGACGAAGAAACGACGACGCUCUGGUAUAUUGAGACCUCGCUAAGCGAUUCUUCAAAUUGUGAUCUCAUUCUGAUUUGUCUCCAUGAUCGAUAGGGUUCAUCUCCUAGGGCUUGUCAAGAAGAUAAACACUGUUGAAGAUCAUAUGAAUCGAAUACUGAUCGGCACAUAAUCGGGGAUCAUUUGAGUGAAGUUGUUUCUACGAAAAUAGUAUUGGCUACACUGUAUGAAAAUCCAUUUUAGCAAAGAAAUACAUUCACUCCGACGAAGGGACGUUUCCCGACGACGAAGAGAGAGAGGGAGAGAGAGAAAAUGUGGCUUUUCAGCACAGAAAGCCUUCUGAAUUCUUAAUCCAUUGUAACAGAUAUAAAGCUGCGACAAACGAUGGUGGAAAUGUUUCCACUUACAUUCACAGAUGCAGCUUACAACAAGAUCAGUGGAAUGCUUUCCACACUUGGAGAUCCCUUCAUUCUUCCAGCCAUUCCAUCCUUUCUCAAACAGUGGUUACAUUGACAGGACUGAUUGAGCUUCAAUUACGAGACAGGUCAUUCUCUCGCAAUACAUCACCUUUAAUUCCAAAAAAAUAAGUACUUAUUUUAAUGGAACACACCCUAAGAUUACUGCAGUUGCACGAAAUAUAUCGGGCACAUUAUGUAAGGUGUAAGAUGAGAAUUAGUGAUUCAGAUGAGAAACAGUGAUUCAUCUCACUUAUUUUCUAGUUAAAGUGUUCAAUCACAAACUUAUGCAA